AGUAACACGUAUCCAACCUUCCGUUUACUCAGGGAUAGCCUUUCGAAAGAAAGAUUAAUACCUGAUAGUAUGGUGAGAUUGCAUGAUAGCACCAUUAAAGAUUUAUUGGUAAACGAUGGGGAUGCGUUCCAUUAGGUAGUAGGCGGGGUAACGGCCCACCUAGCCGACGAUGGAUAGGGGUUCUGAGAGGAAGGUCCCCCACAUUGGAACUGAGACACGGUCCAAACUCCUACGGGAGGCAGCAGUGAGGAAUAUUGGUCAAUGGGCGAGAGCCUGAACCAGCCAAGUAGCGUGAAGGAUGAAGGUCCUACGGAUUGUAAACUUCUUUUAUACGGGAAUAAAGUAUCCUACGUGUAGGAUUUUGUAUGUACCGUAUGAAUAAGCAUCGGCUAACUCCGUGCCAGCAGCCGCGGUAAUACGGAGGAUGCGAGCGUUAUCCGGAUUUAUUGGGUUUAAAGGGAGCGUAGGCGGAUUGUUAAGUCAGUUGUGAAAGUUUGCGGCUCAACCGUAAAAUUGCAGUUGAUACUGGCAGUCUUGAGUGCAGUAGAGGUGGGCGGAAUUCGUGGUGUAGCGGUGAAAUGCUUAGAUAUCACGAAGAACUCCGAUUGCGAAGGCAGCUCACUGGAGUGUAACUGACG
rnacentral:rRNA from 1 species